AUGAACGCUAGCGGCAGGCUUAACACAUGCAAGUCGAGGGGCAGCAUAAUGAAGUAGCAAUACGGAAUUGAUGGCGACCGGCGCACGGGUGCGUAACGCGUAUGCAACCUACCCAUAACAGGGGGAUAACACUGAGAAAUUGGUACUAAUACCCCAUAACAGUUCAAGAGGCAUCUUUUGGAUUUGAAAGUUCAGGCGGUUAUGGAUGGGCAUGCGUUGUAUUAGCUAGAUGGUGAGGUAACGGCUCACCAUGGCGACGAUACAUAGGGGGACUGAGAGGUUAACCCCCCACACUGGUACUGAGACACGGACCAGACUCCUACGGGAGGCAGCAGUGAGGAAUAUUGGUCAAUGGACGCAAGUCUGAACCAGCCAUGCCGCGUGCAGGACGACGGCUCUAUGAGUUGUAAACUGCUUUUGUACAAGGGUAAACCCUGGGACGUGUCCUAGGCUGAAAGUACUGUACGAAUAAGGAUCGGCUAACUCCGUG
rnacentral:rRNA from 1 species